CUUAUCUUCUGAAUUCUGGUUUGGUUUUCAGAUGUUUCCCAUUAUAAAGAGAUAUGAGAAUGUUUGAGUGCAAAAUGUUCGCAAGGAAGCAGACAAGGGAGAGCUUGUGUCAGUGAAAGAUUGUAUUUUCAUUCCUUUCUCCUCUUGACAAGUUCAAUAUAUCUCUGUUCCCUGAAUUAUUCACAAAAACAAUAAGCAAAAUAAAGAAGAAUUGAAAGAAGGGCAACCAAAUGAUUGCUUUCCUUCUGUUGCCCAAACUGGAAACUGAAGAAGAGGAAAGGAAAUAAAAGUUGGCAAAAAACAGAAGUUAGAGUUGUGAAUCAACUGUCCGGAGCUGAGCUGCC
rnacentral:lncRNA from 1 species